rnacentral:rRNA from 1 species
UACGUAGGGACCAAGCGUUGUUCGGAUUUACUGGGCGUAAAGGGCGCGUAGGCGGCAAUUCAAGUCAGCUGUGAAAUCUCCGGGCUUAACUCGGAACGGUCAGCUGAUACUGCUUUGCUAGAGUACAGAAGGGGCAAUCGGAAUUCUUGGUGUAGCGGUGAAAUGCGUAGAUAUCAAGAGGAACACCUGAGGUGAAGACGGGUUGCUGGGCUGAUACUGACGCUGACAGCGCGAAAGCCAGGGGAGCAAACGGG